rnacentral:rRNA from 1 species
GAUGAACGCUGGCGGCGUGCCUAAUACAUGCAAGUCGAGCGAACGGACGAGAAGCUUGCUUCUCUGAUGUUAGCGGCGGACGGGUGAGUAACACGUGGAUAACCUACCUAUAAGACUGGGAUAACUUCGGGAAACCGGAGCUAAUACCGGAUAAUAUUUUGAACCGCAUGGUUCAAAAGUGAAAGACGGUCUUGCUGUCACUUAUAGAUGGAUCCGCGCUGCAUUAGCUAGUUGGCAAGGUAACGGCUUACCAAGGCAACGAUGCAUAGCCGACCUGAGAGGGUGAUCGGCCACACUGGAACUGAGACACGGUCCAGACUCCUACGGGAGGCAGCAGUAGGGAAUCUUCCGCAAUGGGCGAAAGCCUGACGGAGCAACGCCGCGUGAGUGAUGAAGGUCUUCGGAUCGUAAAACUCUGUUAUUAGGGAAGAACAUAUGUGUAAGUAACUGUGCACAUCUUGACGGUACCUAAUCAGAAAGCCACGGCUAACUACGUGCCAGCAGCCGCGGUAAUACGUAGGUGGCAAGCGUUACCCGGAAUUAUUGGGCGUAAAGCGCGCGUAGGCGGUUUUUUAAGUCUGAUGUGAAAGCCCACGGCUCAACCGUGGAGGGUCAUUGGAAACUGGAAAACUUGAGUGCAGAAGAGGAAAGUGGAAUUCCAUGUGUAGCGGUGAAAUGCGCAGAGAUAUGGAGGAACACCAGUGGCGAAGGCGACUUUCUGGUCUGUAACUGACGCUGAUGUGCGAAAGCGUGGGGAUCAAACAGGAUUAGAUACCCUGGUAGUCCACGCCGUAAACGAUGAGUGCUAAGUGUUAGGGGGUUUCCGCCCCUUAGUGCUGCAGCUAACGCAUUAAGCACUCCGCCUGGGGAGUACGACCGCAAGGUUGAAACUCAAAGGAAUUGACGGGGACCCGCACAAGCGGUGGAGCAUGUGGUUUAAUUCGAAGCAACGCGAAGAACCUUACCAAAUCUUGACAUCCUUUGACAACUCUAGAGAUAGAGCCUUCCCCUUCGGGGGACAAAGUGACAGGUGGUGCAUGGUUGUCGUCAGCUCGUGUCGUGAGAUGUUGGGUUAAGUCCCGCAACGAGCGCAACCCUUAAGCUUAGUUGCCAUCAUUAAGUUGGGCACUCUAAGUUGACUGCCGGUGACAAACCGGAGGAAGGUGGGGAUGACGUCAAAUCAUCAUGCCCCUUAUGAUUUGGGCUACACACGUGCUACAAUGGACAAUACAAAGGGCAGCGAAACCGCGAGGUCAAGCAAAUCCCAUAAAGUUGUUCUCAGUUCGGAUUGUAGUCUGCAACUCGACUACAUGAAGCUGGAAUCGCUAGUAAUCGUAGAUCAGCAUGCUACGGUGAAUACGUUCCCGGGUCU